AGAGUUUGAUCCUGGCUCAGGAUGAACGCUAGCGGCAGGCCUAACACAUGCAAGUCGAGGGGUAACGGGGGAGCUUGCUCCCGCCGACGACCGGCGCACGGGUGAGUAACGCGUAUGCAACCUACCCUGUACAGGGGGAUAGCCCAGGGAAGCUUGGAUUAAUACCCUAUAGUGAAUAUGAGCGGCAUCGCUUUAAUUCUAAAGAUUCAUCGGUACAGGAUGGGCAUGCGUGACAUUAGGUAGUUGGUAAAGUAACGGCUUACCAAGCCCACGAUGUCUACGGGGUCUAAAAGGAUGGUCCCGCACACUGGUACUGAGACACGGACCAGACUCCUACGGGAGGCAGCAGUGAGGAAUAUUGGUCAAUGGGGGCAACCCUGAACCAGCCAUGCCGCGUGGAGGAUGACUGCCCUACGGGUUGUAAACUCCUUUUGUUCGGGAAUAAACGGCCCCACGUGUGGGGCUUUGCAUGUACCGUUCGAAUAAGCACCGGCUAACUCCGUGCCAGCAGCCGCGGUAAUACGGAGGGUGCGAGCGUUAUCCGGAUUUAUUAGGUUUAAAGGGUACGUAGGCGGGCAUUUAAGUCAGUGGUGAAAUCCCGGGGCUCAACUCCGGAACUGCCAUUGAUACUGAAUGUCUUGAGUACGGUUGAGGCAGGCGGAAUGUGUAAUGUAGCGGUGAAAUGCAUAGAUAUUACACAGAACACCGAUUGCGAAGGCAGCCUGCCAAGCCGUCACUGACGCUGAUGUACGAAAGCGCGGGUAGCGAACAGGAUUAGAUACCCUGGUAGUCCGCGCCGUAAACGAUGUUCACUGGCUGUGCGCGACACAAUGUGCGCGGCUGAGCGAAAGCAUUAAGUGAACCACCUGGGGAGUACGUCGGCAACGAUGAAACUCAAAGGAAUUGACGGGGGCCCGCACAAGCGGAGGAACAUGUGGUUUAAUUCGAUGAUACGCGAGGAACCUUACCUGGGCUUAAAUGUAGGUUGCAUGGAGCGGAAACGUUCCUUCCCCACGGGGCCACCUACAAGGUGCUGCAUGGCUGUCGUCAGCUCGUGCCGUGAGGUGUCGGGUUAAGUCCCAUAACGAGCGCAACCCCUAUCGUUAGUUGCUAACAGGUCAAGCUGAGGACUCUAGCGAGACUGCCACCGUAAGGUGCGAGGAAGGUGGGGAUGACGUCAAGUCAGCACGGCCCUUACGUCCAGGGCUACACACGUGUUACAAUGGCCGGUACAAAGGGCAGCCACCUGGCAACAGGGCGCCAAUCCUUAAAGCCGGUCUCAGUUCGGAUCGGAGUCUGCAACCCGACUCCGUGAAGCUGGAUUCGCUAGUAAUCGCGCAUCAGCCAUGGCGCGGUGAAUACGUUCCCGGGCCUUGUACACACCGCCCGUCAAGCCAUGGAAGCUGGGGGUACCUGAAGUCCGUAACCGCAAGGAUCGGCCUAGGGUAAGACCGGUAACUGGGGCUAAGUCGGAACAAGGUA
rnacentral:rRNA from 1 species